rnacentral:rRNA from 1 species
GACGAACGCUGGCGGCGUGCCUAAUACAUGCAAGUCGAACGCAGUGGGGACGGGUGAGUAACACGUGGGUAACCUCCCAUCAGAGGGGAUAACACUUGGAAACAGGUGCUAAACCUAUACUGAUGGAUGGACCCGCGGUGCAUUAGCUAGUUGGUUAGGUAACGGCUCACCAAGGCCACGAUGCAUAGCCAGCCUGAGAGGGAGAUCGGACAUCCGGGGACAGAGACACAGCCCAAACUCCUACGGGAGGCAGCAGUAGAGAAUCUUCGGCAAUGGACGAAAGUCUGACCGAGCAACGCCGCGUGAGUGAAGAAGGUAUGCGGAUAGUAAGACUCUGUUGUUAGAGAAGCGGUAUCUAACCAGAAAGCCACGGCUAAAUACGUGCCAGCAGCCGCGGUAAUAC